UGGGAUAAGCUUGGGAAACUGGGUCUAAUACCGGAUAGGAGCCAUCUUUAGUGUGGUGGUUGGAAAGUUUUUUCGGUGUAGGAUGAGCUCGCGGCCUAUCAGCUUGUUGGUGGGGUAAUGGCCUACCAAGGCGGCGACGGGUAGCCGGCCUGAGAGGGUGUACGGCCACAUUGGGACUGAGAUACGGCCCAG
rnacentral:rRNA from 1 species